GACGAACGCUGGCGGCAGGCCUAACACAUGCAAGUCGAACGAGUGGCGGACGGGUGAGUAAGGUCUGGGAAACUGCCUGAUGGAUGGGGAUAACUACUGGAAACGGUAGCUAAUACCGCAUACCAUCGGAUGUGCCCAGAUGGGAUUAGCUAGUAGGUGGGGUAAAGGCUCACCUAGGGGACGAUCCCUAGCUGGUCUGAGAGGAUGACCAGCCACACUGGAACUGAGAAACGGUCCAGACUCCUACGGGAGGCAGCAGUGGGGAAUAUUGCACAAUGGGCGAAAGCCUGAUGCAGCCAUGCCGCGUGUAUGAAGAAGGCCUUCGGUUUGUAAAGUACUUUCAGCGGGGAGGCGUUACCAGCAGAAUAAGCACCGGCUAACUCCGUGCCAGCAGCCGCGGUAAUUC
rnacentral:rRNA from 1 species